AGAGCGAGAGACUCGCCAUCGGUGGGUUUUUACCCGAGCCAAACCAGAAAAACGAAAAGAAGAAAAGAAAAAGGAGAAAGAGAGAGAGGGAGGGAGAGAUCGAAGCAAGAAAAAGAAAGGAAGAUGAAAAAAAAAUGUAAAAAUCAAAGAUCUGAUCUUCAAUCGAUCUCGACAUCGCCAGGUACCUACACAGUAACAAGCUCACUGGGCUAAUUCCACCCGAAUUGGGGAACAUGUCCAAGCUAAGCUAUCUGUGAAGGUUCUUACUUUAAAAUAAAAUUUCCAUUUCGGGAUAUUUGUGUGUAAAUUAUUUCUGAUAGUUUCCUUCUACAGGAAAUUGAACAAUAAUGAACUGGUUGGUAGCAUUCUGGCCGAGCUUGGAUAGCUGGAGUUGUUUGAAUUGUGCAUGGCAAAGAUUGAAUGGUUCCAUUCCAUCUGAAUUCCUGAAGCUGGAGAGUCUAACAUAUCUAAACUUCUCAUCGAACAAUUUUAAAGGGUGGAUCCCUGUUGAGUUAGGGCGCAUAAUCAAUCUUGAUACUUUGUCGGUUGCAAUGUAAGCUUUCAAUGAUUAUGACGAGAAAGAGGACUUGUACUACCCUUAAAAAAAAAUCUCUUAUAUUGAUUAUUUUACAGGCCUUUGCUCAACUAUUGCAAGCUCCUCAUGAUGAUGCUCAAAUUAUCAUAACAGAUUGUUUCCCUGUCCCCAUAUUGGUUAUUUGUGAUCAGCAUGGUUCCCAGGUUUGUAAAUGUCUUUUGGCUUCAACCUGUGAAAUAGACCACUCUACUUUUAAUUCCUUAAUAUAAUUUCCAUGGAGGUG